UACGUAGGGUGCAAGCGUUGUCCGGAAUUAUUGGGCGUAAAGAGCUCGUAGGCGGUUCGUCGCGUCGGCUGUGAAAUCCCGAGGCUCAACCUCGGGUCUGCAGUCGAUACGGGCGGACUGGAGUUCGGCAGGGGAGACUGGAAUUCCUGGUGUAGCAGUGAAAUGCGUAGAUAUCAGGAGGAAUACCGAUGGCGAAGGCAGGUCUCUGGGCUAUAACUGACGCUCAUGCACGAAAGCGUGGGGAGCAAACAGG
rnacentral:rRNA from 1 species